rnacentral:tRNA from 1 species
UUUAGUGUGGCAGAUUAGUGCAAUGGGCUUAAGAUCUAUAUAUGAAGAUUUUUCUUUCACUAAAA